rnacentral:ncRNA from 1 species
UUGAGCCGUAUGCGGGGAAACUCGCACGUACGGUUCUUAGGGGGGCGCCCUUUCGUAAGAAAGGGUGCCUACCCUCC